GACGAAGGAUGCAAGCGUUAUCCGGAUUCAUUGGGUUUAAAGGGAGCGUAGGUGGCCUUAUAAGUCAGUGGUGAAAUCCUGUUGCUUAACAGCAGAAUUGCCAUUGAUACUGUAGGGCUUGAGUAUAGUUGCCGUUGGCGGAAUAUGACAUGUAGUGGUGAAAUACAUAGAGAUGUCAUAGAACACCGAUUGCGAAGGCAGCUAACGAAACUAUA
rnacentral:rRNA from 1 species